GUAGGGGGCAAGCGUUGUCCGGAUUUAUUGGGCGUAAAGAGCGUGUAGGCGGCCAUGCAGGUCCGUUGUGAAAACUCGAGGCUCAACCUCGAGACGCCGAUGGAAACCGCAUGGCUAGAGUCCGGAAGAGGAGAGUGGAAUUCCUGGUGUAGCGGUGAAAUGCGCAGAUAUCAGGAAGAACACCCGUGGCUAAGGCGGCUCUCUAGUACGGUACUGACGCUGAGACGCGAAAGCGUGGGGAGCGAACAGGAUUAGAUACCCUGGUAGUCCACGCCGUAAACGAUGGGUGCUAGGUGUGGGGGGUGUCGACUCCCUCCGUGCCGAAGCUAACGCAUUAAGCACCCCGCCUGGGGAGUACGGCCGCAAGGCUA
rnacentral:rRNA from 1 species